AGUGAACGCUGGCGGUAGGCCUAACACAUGCAAGUCGAACGGCAGCACAGUAAGCGCUUGCUUCUACGGGUGGCGACUGGCGGACGGGUGAGGCAUGCAUCGCAUUCUUCUUUUUCGUGGGGGAUAUCGUAGGGACACUUCUGCUACUACCGCAUAUGUUCUACGGCUUGAAGCAGUGGUGCUUCACGCUUUUCCUGACUCAUUUAGACGAUGUCGGAUUAGCUAGUUGGCUGGGUAAAGGCCCACCAAGGCGACGAUCCGUAGCUGAUCUGAGAGGAUGAUCAGCCACACUGGAACUGAGACACGGUCCAGACUCCUACGGGAGGCAGCAGUGGGGAAUAUUCGACAAUGGGCGCAAGCCUGAUCCAGCCAUACCGCGUGAGUGAAGAAGGCCUUCGGGUUGUAAAGCCCUUUUGUUGGGAAAGAAAAGCAGCAGGUUAAUACCCCGCUGUUCUGACGGUACCCAAAGAAUAAGCACCGGCUAACUUCGUG
rnacentral:rRNA from 1 species